rnacentral:rRNA from 1 species
AUGAGCGGAGGACGCGUCCUUCACCGGAGGUCUCCUGCCCCUCUCGUUCUGGCCUUGGCAUGGGCCAUGCUCUUCGUCGCAUUGUCUGACGCGCAGCUGGAGGUCGGGUUCUACGACUACACCUGCCCGAGAGCGGAGCAGCUCGUCCGCACCGUCGUCCACGCCGCCAUCCGCCGUGACCCCGGCAUCGGCGCCGGGCUAGUGCGCCUCUUCUUCCACGACUGCUUCGUCAGGGGGUGUGAUGCAUCCGUGCUCCUGGACGCGGUCCCGGGCAGCGACGACGCCGUGGAGAAGGCGUCGCAGGCGAACAGCCCUAGCCUCAGGGGCUACGGCGUCAUCGAGCGCGCCAAGCGCGUGGUCGAGCGGCGGUGCCGGCGCCGACAUCGUGGCCUUCGCCGCGCGCGACGCCAGCGGCCUCCUGGGGGGCAUCGAGUACGAGGUGCCGGCGGGGCGGCGCGACGGCCGCGUCUCCAACGCGUCGGAGGUGCUCAACAGCCUGCCCCCGCCCUUCUCCAACGCCUCGCGGUUCGUCGACAGCUUCGCCGCCAAGGGCCUCAAUGCCGACGACAUGGUCACGCUCUCGGGCGCGCACUCCUUCGGCCGCACCCACUGCUCAGCCAUCGCCUUCCGGCUCUACCCGCGGGUCGCAGCAGACAUGAACGCCACCUACGGCAGGUCCCUCCGGGCGCGGUGCCCGGCCGCGACGGGGCGCCGGGACCGGGUGGUGCACCUGGACCCGGUCACGGGGCUCCGGCUCGACAACCAGUACUACAGGAACGUGCAGACGCGCGAGGUGCCGUUCACGUCGGACGCGACGCUCCUGACGCGGGACGACACGGCGGCGCUCGUCGACCUCUACGCGCGCAACAGGACUGCGUGGAUGUCGCGGUUCGCGGCCGCGAUGGUGAAGAUGGGCGACCUCGACGUGCUCACCGGCACCCAAGGAGAGAUCAGGAGCCUUUGCAACAGAGUUAA